CGGUUGGGGGUGCCUAUACUUGCAGUCGAACGAACUCUGGUAUUGAUUGGUGCUUGCAUCAUGAUUUACAUUUGAGUGAGUGGCGAACUGGUGAGUAACACGUGGGAAACCUGCCCAGAAGCGGGGGAUAACACCUGGAAACAGAUGCUAAUACCGCAUAACAACUUGGACCGCAUGGUCCGAGUUUGAAAGAUGGCUUCGGCUAUCACUUUUGGAUGGUCCCGCGGCGUAUUAGCUAGAUGGUGGGGUAACGGCUCACCAUGGCAAUGAUACGUAGCCGACCUGAGAGGGUAAUCGGCCACAUUGGGACUGAGACACGGCCCAAACUCCUACGGGAGGCAGCAGUAGGGAAUCUUCCACAAUGGACGAAAGUCUGAUGGAGCAACGCCGCGUGAGUGAAGAAGGGUUUCGGCUCGUAAAACUCUGUUGUUAAAGAAGAACAUAUCUGAGAGUAACUGUUCAGGUAUUGACGGUAUUUAACCAGAAAGCCACGGCUAACUACGUGCCAGCAGCCGCGGUAAUACGUAGGUGGCAAGCGUUGUCCGGAUUUAUUGGGCGUAAAGCGAGCGCAGGCGGUUUUUUAAGUCUGAUGUGAAAGCCUUCGGCUCAACCGAAGAAGUGCAUCGGAAACUGGGAAACUUGAGUGCAGAAGAGGACAGUGGAACUCCAUGUGUAGCGGUGAAAUGCGUAGAUAUAUGGAAGAACACCAGUGGCGAAGGCGGCUGUCUGGUCUGUAACUGACGCUGAGGCUCGAAAGUAUGGGUAGCAAACAGGAUUAGAUACCCUGGUAGUCCAUACCGUAAACGAUGAAUGCUAAGUGUUGGGAGGGUUUCCGCCCUUCAGUGCUGCAGCUAACGCAA
rnacentral:rRNA from 1 species